rnacentral:rRNA from 1 species
UACGUAGGGGGCGAGCGUUGUCCGGAUUUAUUGGGCGUAAAGAGCUCGUAGGCGGUUUGGUAAGUCGGAUGUGAAAUCUCCAGGCUUAACCUGGAGGGGUCAUUCGAUACUGCCAUGACUAGAGUCCGGUAGGGGAGUGUGGAAUUCCUGGUGGAGCGGUGAAAUGCGCAGAGAUCAGGAGGAACACCCGUAGCGAAGGCGGCACUCUGGGCCGGAACUGACGCUGAGGAGCGAAAGCGUGGGGAGCGAACAGG